rnacentral:rRNA from 1 species
UACGGGGGGGGCAAGCGUUGUUCGGAAUUACUGGGCGUAAAGGGCUCGUAGGCGGCCAACUAAGUCAGACGUGAAAUCCCCAGGCUCAACUUGGGAACUGCGUCUGAUACUGGAUGGCUUGAAUUCGGGAGAGGGAUGCAGAAUUCCAGGUGUAGCGGUGAAAUGCGCAGAUAUCAGGAAGAACACCCGUGGCUAAGGCGGUUCUCUAGUACGGUACUGACGCUGAGGCGCGAAAGCGUGGGGAGCAAACAGG